AUGAACGCUGGCGGCGUGCCUAAUACAUGCAAGUCGAGCGGGAGAAUCAUCCUUCGGGAUGAGGAUCCAGCGGCGAACGGGUGAGUAACACGUGGGCAACCUGCCCGCAAGACCGGGAUAACUCCGGGAAACCGGGGCUAAUACCGGAUAGUCCUUUUCCCCGCAUGGGGAAAAGGGGAAAGGCGGCUUCGGCUGUCACUUGCGGAUGGGCCCGCGGCGCAUUAGCUGGUUGGUGAGGUAACGGCUCACCAAGGCGACGAUGCGUAGCCGACCUGAGAGGGUGAUCGGCCACACUGGGACUGAGACACGGCCCAGACUCCUACGGGAGGCAGCAGUAGGGAAUUUUCCGCAAUGGGCGAAAGCCUGACGGAGCAACGCCGCGUGAGUGAGGACGGCCUUCGGGUUGUAAAACUCUGUUCUUGAGGAAGAAUUCCUUCCAGGCGAACAGCCUGGAAGGUUGACGGUACUCAAGGAGAAAGCCCCGGCUAACUACGUGCCAGCAGCCGCGGUAAUACGUAGGGGGCGAGCGUUAUCCGGAAUUAUUGGGCGUAAAGCGCGCGCAGGCGGCUGAUUAAGUCAGGUGUGAAAGGCUGCGGCUCAACCGCAGAGCGGCACCUGAAACUGGUCAGCUUGAGUGCAGGAGAGGGGAGCGGAAUUCCCGGUGUAGCGGUGGAAUGCGUAGAGAUCGGGAGGAACACCAGUGGCGAAGGCGGCUCUCUGGCCUGUAACUGACGCUGAGGCGCGAAAGCGUGGGGAGCAAACA
rnacentral:rRNA from 1 species